CGGCGGACGGGUGAGUAACACGUGGAUAACCUACCUAUAAGACUGGGAUAACUUCGGGAAACCGGAGCUAAUACCGGAUAAUAUAUUGAACCGCAUGGUUCAAUAGUGAAAGACGGUUUUGCUGUCACUUAUAGAUGGAUCCGCGCCGUAUUAGCUAGUUGGUAAGGUAACGGCUUACCAAGGCAACGAUGCGUAGCCGACCUGAGAGGGUGAUCGGCCACACUGGAACUGAGACACGGUCCAGACUCCUACGGGAGGCAGCAGGG
rnacentral:rRNA from 1 species